rnacentral:rRNA from 1 species
CCUACGGGAGGCAGCAGUAGGGAAUCUUUCACAAUGGGCGAAAGCCUGAUGGAGCAACGCCGCGUGCAGGAUGAAGGCCUUCGGGUUGUAAACUGCUUUUAUAAGCGAGAAAUAUGAUGGUAACUUAUGAAUAAGGAUCGGCUAACUACGUGCCAGCAGCCGCGGUCAUACGUAGGAUCCGGGCAUUAUCCGGAGUGACUGGGUGUAAAGAGUUGCGUAGGUGGCAUAAUAAGUAGCUAGUGAAAUCUGGUGGCUCAACCAUUCAGACUAUUAGCUAAACUGUUAAGCUCGAGACCGUUAGGGGUAACUGGAAUGUCUAGUGUAGGAGUGAAAUCCGUAGAUAUUAGAAGGAACACCAAUAGCGUAGGCAGGUUGCUGGGACGGUUCUGACACUAAGGCACGAAAGCGUAGGGAGCAAACGGGAUUAGAUACCCGAGUAGUC